UAGCGUAUUCGUUUGACGUUAGCGACAGAAGAAAGCACCGGCUAACUCCGUGCCAGCAGCCGCGGUAAUACGGAGGGUGCGAGCGUUAAUCGGAAUUACUGGGCGUAAAGCGCAUGCAGGUGGUUUGUUAAGUCAGAUGUGAAAGACCCGGGGCGUCAACCUACGGAAUAGCAUUUGUAAACUAGGCAGACUAGAGUACUGUAGAGGGGGGUAGGAAUUUCAGGUGUAGCGGUGAAAUGCGUAGAGAUCUGAAGGAAUACCGGUGGCGAAGGCGGCCCCCUCGGACAGAUACUGACACUCAGAUGCGAAAGCGUGGGGAGCAAACAGGAUUAGAUACCCUGGUAG
rnacentral:rRNA from 1 species